rnacentral:lncRNA from 1 species
CGAUCGAUCUCACAUCGCUCACGUACGCACGCGCCGCGCCGCGCCGCGUUCAUCGUCGUCGUCGUCGUCAACGACGACCAGACCGACCGGCGCCGUCCGGCCAUCCGCCGCAGCGCGCGCCGCUCAACGGCGCCCCUUCCCGGCCGGUGGCCAACCAUGCCCGUUCUGAUGCUCCCCCGGCAAUACGAUGCCGCCGCCGCUCCUCGACGGACGACGGUGACGAUCGAUGACAGCGAGGCGGCGCUGCUCGAGAGACUCCUCCGCCGGAUGGAAGAAGGCGACGACGCCGCCGCCGCCGGCGGCGACCAAACGCGAGCCAACGACCGGCGUUGCUUCUCGGGUUUUGGGGCUAUGGCGAGCUUAAUACUGGUGUCUUUUAGUCUGAUGGGUGAUAGUUCCUACUCACUGGCGCUUCGAAUAAUCAUCUCUCUUUCUCCCGCAGCAUUUGCUUUCUUUCUAACCCAAGAAAAUCCGUUUUUCUCACGAGAACCAUUCGUUCGUUUUUUUCUUCAAUGA